UACGGAGGGUGCGAGCGUUGUCCGGAAUCAUUGGGCGUAAAGAGCGUGUAGGCGGCUCGAUAAGUCUGCUGUGAAAGUCCAGGGCUCAACCCUGGAAGGCCGGUGGAAACUGUCGGGCUAGAGUCCGGAAGAGGCGAGUGGAAUUCCCGGUGUAGCGGUGAAAUGCGCAGAUAUCGGGAGGAACACCAAUGGCGAAGGCAGCUCGCUGGGACGGUACUGACGCUGAGACGCGAAAGCGUGGGGAGCAAACAGG
rnacentral:rRNA from 1 species